UACGUAGGGUGCGAGCGUUGUCCGGAAUUAUUGGGCGUAAAGAGCUUGUAGGCGGUCUGUCGCGUCUGCUGUGAAAAUCCGGGGCUCAACCCCGGACUUGCAGUGGGUACGGGCAGACUAGAGUGUGGUAGGGGAGACUGGAAUUCCUGGUGUAGCGGUGAAAUGCGCAGAUAUCAGGAGGAACACCGAUGGCGAAGGCAGGUCUCUGGGCCAACACUGACGCUGAUGUGCGAAAGCUAGGGGAGCAAACGGG
rnacentral:rRNA from 1 species